GCAUCUGAAAUCAAGCAGGAUCACCCGCUGAACUUAAGCAUAUCAAUAAGCGGAGGAGAAGAAAUUAACUAAGAUUGCCUCAGUAGCGGCGAGCGAAGCGGCAAAAGCCCAAACUGGAAAUCUUGCACCUUCGGUGUACGAAUUGUAAUCUAAAGAGUUUUCACUCACCGGGAAGUGGCGCAGAAGUGCCUUCGAAUAGGCCGCCAGAGAGGGUGCCAGCCCCGUAUGUGGUGCCAUUUCCUAACGAGUGGGGAUUCAACGAGUCGGGUUGUUUUGUAUUGCAGCCCUAAGUGGGAGAUAAACUUCUUCUAAGGCUAAAUAUAUAUGGGAAACCGAUAGCGAACAAGUACUGUGAAGGAAAGAUGAAAAGAACUUUGAAAAGAGAGUCAAAAGACUUGAAAUCGUUGAGAAGGAAGCGGUAGAAAUUUAUUCUUCGGCGGAUGUCGAGCUAGUUGCCAAACCAUUGCAGGCUUCGAGUACUGAAUAAGGCUCUGGUUUGCACAUGGGGAAGCGGCUGGUGUGAUAUCCGUCGUGAGGCAAAAUGG
rnacentral:rRNA from 1 species